rnacentral:tRNA from 2 species
GUAAAGGUAAACUAAUAAAGUUAUUUGGCUCAUGUUCAAAAUAUAAGAUAUUCUCUUCUUUUACG